AAACCAGCACCUCAAGUGGUCAGGAUGAUUAUUGGGCCUAAAGCAUCCGUAGCCGGCUCUGUAAGUUUUCGGUUAAAUCUGUACGCUUAACGUACAGGCUGCUGGGAAUACUGCAGAGCUAGGGAGUGGGAGAGGUAGACGGUACUCGGGAGGAAGUGGUAAAAUGCUUUGAUCUCUCGAUGACCACCUGUGGCGAAGGCGGUCUACCAGAACACGUUCGACGGUGAGGGAUGAAAGCUGGGGGAGCAAACCGGAUUAGAAACCCGGGUAGUCC
rnacentral:rRNA from 1 species